CCGGCCUUAGCUCAGUUGGUAGUAGCGGCAGACUGUAGCGGCACAAUGCCAAAGACAUCUGUAGGUCCCUGGUUCGACUCCGGGAGGCCGGA